UUUGUUUUUAUACGACCGCAAAAAUUUUAAUUUUUCGUCGUAUAUUGCUAUCACGUUGGCGUCGUCGUCGUCGUCAUCCGAAUACUUUUAGUUUUUGCACUCUAACUUUAGUAAAAGUGAAUAGAAAUCUAUGAAAUUUUAACACAAGGUUUAUGACCACAAAAGGAAGGUUGGGAUUGAUUUUAGGAGUUUUGGUCCCAACAUUUUAGGAAUUAGGGGCCAAAAAGGGCCCAAAUAAGCAUUUUCUUGGUUUUCACACUAUAACUUUAGUUUAAGUAAAUUGAAAUCUAUGAAAUUUUGACACAAGGUUUAUGACCACAAAAGGAAGGUUGGGAUUGAUUUUGGGAGUUUUGGUCCCAACAGUUUAGGAAUUAGGGGCCAAAAAAGGGCCCAAAUAAGCAUUAUUCUUGGUUUUCGCACCAUAACUUUAGUAGAAGUAAAUAGAAAUCUAUGAAAUUUAAACACAAGGUUUAUGACCAUAAAAGGAAGGUUGGGUUUGAUUUUGGGAGGUUUGGUGACCAAGUCACUUUGGUCCCAACAGUUUAGGAAUAAGGGGCCCAAAGGGUCCAAAAUUGAACUUUGUUUCAUUUCAUAAAAAAUUGAAUAAUUGGGGUUCUUUGAUAUGCCGAAUCUAACUGUGUAUGUAGAUUCUUAAUUUUUGGUCCCAUUUUCAAAUUGGUCUACAUUAAGGUCCAAAGGGUCCAAAAUUAAACUUAGUUUGAUUUUAACAAAAAUUGAAUCCUUGGGGUUCUUUGAUAUGCUGAAUCUAAAAAUGUACUUAGAUUUUUUAUUAUUGGCCCAGUUUUCAAGUUGGUCCAAAUCGGGGUCCAAAAAUUAAACUUUGUUUGAUUUCAUCAAAAAUUGAAUAAUUGGGG
rnacentral:lncRNA from 1 species